UACGUAGGGUGCAAGCGUUGUCCGGAAUUAUUGGGCGUAAAGAGCGUGUAGGCGGCCCGAUUAGUCCGCUGUGAAAGUCCAGGGCUCAACCCUGGAAUGCCGGUGGAUACUGUCGGGCUAGAGUCCGGAAGGGGCGAGUGGAAUUCCUGGUGUAGCGGUGAAAUGCGCAGAUAUCAGGAGGAACACCAAUGGCGAAGGCAGCUCGCUGGGACGUGACUGACGCUAAGGCGCGAAAGCGUGGGGAGCGAACAGG
rnacentral:rRNA from 1 species